rnacentral:rRNA from 1 species
AUUGAACGCUGGUGGCAUGCUUAACACAUGCAAGUCGAACGGUAACAUGAAGUAGCUUGCUAUUUUGAUGACGAGUGGCGGACGGGUGAGUAAAGCGUAGGAAUCUGCCUUUUAGCGGGGGACAACUUAGGGAAACUUAAGCUAAUACCGCAUAAUGCCUUAGGGCUAAAGCUGGCUUCGGCUGGCGCUGAAAGAUGAGCCUACGUUGGAUUAGCUAGUUGGUGGGGUAAAGGCUUACCAAGGCGACGAUCUAUAGCUGUUCUGAGAGGAAGAUCAGCCACACUGGGACUGAGACACGGCCCAG